rnacentral:lncRNA from 1 species
UCAGUGCUUCCCACUAAGCAGCAGGGGCCUUGAGGUUGUGGGGCCUCUGAUUUCACCUCUUUGUAGUAUAGUCCAGAUAUUCAAUAAACAGGGACUCAGGCCUCACGGAGCAAGGAGGGGACGGGCCGAGGCUGCCUGGGCCGGACACAGAGCUGCAAGGCUGAACUUGGUCCACAGGGAGCCAUUUUGAGUCUGCCGUUCUUGGUCAAGCCUCACCCCGGGGGCAUUUCCAGCCUCUGUUUUCUCCGCGGGAUUAAUAAGAGGCAGCCGUGCCCGGUCCAGUCGCCGCGAGGUGUUGUGCGCCACCUGGUGGUCGCGUGGCAGACAGCAUUCCUCCAAGCGAGACAGCACCAGCGGCUAAAAUGCAGCUAUCUGCACCUCGAACCCAGCCCAUCUUUUAGCCAAUGACAAGCCAAGUGCCCCAGAGUCCUGCAUGGCAGUGGACGCUGACAAGAACUCCAGGAAUUCCAGAUUGCAUGGAGCUUCUCGGCUCAGCUGCAUCUACCUGGAUCCUGAAUUUGAACCAAGUGGUCCAAACGGCCCGGUCACCUGAGCAACCCCUCUGCAGGAACCGCAGCCAGAGGAGGAAGAGAAGGUUGGUCCUCAGCGCCUGGACGCCUGGUAGACGAUAGGGGAUGACAUGAUGAGUAAAAUAAGGACAGGAACACGCCGAAUCCCCUUUCAUAAUGAUAGGACCACGCCAAAUCCCCUUUCUUUUUAAAAUUUG